rnacentral:rRNA from 1 species
CCUACGGGAGGCAGCAGUGGGGAAUAUUGGGCAAUGGGCGCAAGCCUGACCCAGCAACGCCGCGUGAAGGAAGAAGGCUUUCGGGUUGUAAACUUCUUUUCUGAGGGACGAAGAAAGUGACGGUACCUCAUGUAUAAGCCACGGCUAACUACGUGCAAGCAGCCGCGGUAAUACGUAGGUGGCAAGCGUUAUCCGGAUUUAUUGGGUGUAAAGGGCGUGUAGGCGGGAAAGCAAGUCAGAGGUGAAAACUCAGGGCUCAACCCUGAUACUGCAUUUGAAACUGUUUUUCUUGAGUGCUGGAGAGGCAAUUGGAAUUCCGUGUGUAGCGGUGAAAUGCGUAGAUAUACGGAGGAACACCAGUGGCGAAGGCGGAUUGCUGGACAGUAACUGACGCUGAGGCGCGAAAGCGUGGGUAUCGAACAGGAUUAGAUACCCCGGUAGUC